UUAUAAAUUCAGUUUCGUCUUCCUUUCAAUGGGUUCCAUUUCCGAGCAGCCUCACUUUGUGUUGUUCCCUUUCAUGGCUCAAGGCCACUUGCUCCCCAUGGUAGAUAUUGGUACACUGUUGGCACAACGUGGCGUUAUUGUUACUAUAGUUACAACACCUCAUAAUGCUGACAGUGUCCAGAAAUCGAUUGCUCGAACCGACGAAUAAGGGAG